AGGACGAACGCUGGCGGCGCGCUUAACACAUGCAAGUCGAGCGAGAACCAGGGCUUCGGCCCUGGGGAAAGCGGCGAACGGGUGAGUAACACGUGAGUAACCUGUCCUCGGCACCGGGAUAGCCCGGGGAAACCCGGAUUAAUACCGGAUGGCCUUUCGAGCUCUCGGGCUCGUUAGAAAAGGUAGCUUCGGCCUCCGGCCGAGGAGGGACUCGCGGCGGAUUAGCUUGUUGGUGAGGUAACGGCUCACCAAGGCGACGAUCCGUA
rnacentral:rRNA from 1 species